UAGAGGAUGCAAUUGGCUUAAUAUCAUAAUGAAAAAAAACGAGAAAUUUUGCAAUAAUGGAUAUGGCACUUUGAUUUAUCUUAGCUACACCCGUAGGCGCUUUUGUGCAACAAGGAAGAUCCCUUUUGAUGUGAGGAAAUUACGUUUAAGAAUUGUUUUUUUUCGAUUUCCGAAAUCUUUGUGCUGGAACCUCAUCCAACAACUGAAGCGGUAUGACCAACAACCUCGAUUCCGUUUGACCUUCGGUUCUCUAUUCUUUAAGCAAUGCGCAUGCCAGUGUUGCGUGGGAAAUGGAUAUUGGCUCUGAUGAGCUAAUUCAGCAUUUUCCGUAGCAUUGAACAAAUUUGUAAAUUUAUGGUGGACCGUAAACAUGCCGAAGAGCGGUUUCCUAAUUCUGUUGAUGAAUGCAAUAGGAUGGAUUAUAUUCGAAAUUUGGAAUUAAGGGUCUAAUUGGAGCAUGUCAUGUUGCCAUAAUUUCACCUGCUUUGUCAACCACAGUUGUGCUACAUGAUUACAUGAAUAGAAAAGGGUAUUAUAGCAUUAAUGUUGAAUGGUUAAGUAUUAUAUUUACU